UGGAGCUAAACACAACUCAAGAAGAAGAAGAGAGAGAGAAGAAUGGGACACUACUGUCACCGUCUCCCGCCGGUUCCCAGACGCCGCAUCACAUGCAUCUUCCUCCCCGCUGCACAGAUCUCCACGGUGGGGGUUGCUGUGCUACACCGCCCCCUCGCGUCCGGCCGAGCACCUGCACCCCCCCCGCUGAGCGCUCAGACGGGCUUGGCGCUCGGAGGUCUGCAGGCUGCCGCCGCUUCCUCUCCUGCCUGAACACAGCUUGUUCUCCCGCAGAUCCCCGGCGGACAGCCGUACUCUCCGCUCUCCAGGAACACCUUCACGGGGAGAUAAAACUGCUUUUUCCGACGCCGUGUUCCCUUUCUGAAGCCGCCCUGGUCUGCCUGUGUGGAUAAAGAGCUGCAGGGAGGAGACAGCCUCCCUUCUUCAGCUGAUAGAUACCAGGACACUGACCUGGUUAGACGCACUGCAUCUGGUGACCUGGUGAAAUACAUCAGCUUUAAAUGUGCUUCUUAGACACUCCACCUCCCCUGCUGAUGGGAUGGAAAUGAAAGCAGCUUCAGUGUGUAAAACAUGGAGGGACAUGACAGAUAUCAGGUUUGAGGUGUCGGCAGCCUCCAUCUCAUGAUGCUGCUGAUGUAACGCACGAGGAAUCCACAAUAUUAGUGUUGUAGAACUAUAUUUAGUGUUGAAACGAUUACUUGAUUGAAUAAUCGUCGAUUUUGCUGCUUUUCCCAGUAAAAUAUCGUCAUAAAUUGUAUUUGGUG